CCGCCAUGGUGAUGAUGAUGACACUAAAUGUCUUUUUCCUGAAAAAAAAAAACUGUGGGUUUUUCAGUCACUACCUCUUCUGAAUGGUUU